rnacentral:rRNA from 1 species
UACAGGGGGUGCAAUCGUUGCUCGGAAUCAUUGGGCGUAAAGCGCACGUAGGCGGUUCGUUAUGUCGGAUGUGAAAGCCCUUGGCUUAACCGAGGAAGUGCAUCCGAAACUGGCGAGCUAGAGUACGAAAGAGGAUCGCGGAAUUCUCGGUGUAGAGGUGAAAUUCGUAGAUAUCGGGAGGAACACCGGUGGCGAAGGCGGCGAUCUGGGUCGAUACUGACGCUGAGGUGCGAAAGCGUGGGGAGCAAACAGG